rnacentral:rRNA from 1 species
CUUAACACAUGCAAGUCGAACGAAGAGCGAUGGAAGCUUGCUUCUAUCAAUCUUAGUGGCGAACGGGUGAGUAACGCGUAAUCAACCUGCCCUUCAGAGGGGGACAACAGUUGGAAACGACUGCUAAUACCGCAUACGAUCUAACCUCGGCAUCGAGGAAAGAUGAAAGGUGGCCUCUAUUUAUAAGCUAUCACUGAAGGAGGGGAUUGCGUCUGAUUAGCUAGUUGGAGGGGUAACGGCCCACCAAGGCGAUGAUCAGUAGCCGGUCUGAGAGGAUGAACGGCCACAUUGGGACUGAGACACGGCCCAGACUCCUACGGGAGGCAGCAGUGGGGAAUCUUCCGCAAUGGACGAAAGUCUGACGGAGCAACGCCGUCGUGAGUGAUGACGGCCUUCGGGUUGUAAAGCUCUGUUAAUCGGGACGAAAGGCCUUCUUGCGAACAGUUAGAAGGAUUGACGGUACCGGAAUAGAAAGCCACGGCUAACUACGUGCCAGCAGCCGCGGUAAUACGUAGGUGGCAAGCGUUGUCCGGAAUUAUUGGGCGUAAAGCGCGCGCAGGCGGAUCAGUUAGUCUGUCUUAAAAGUUCGGGGCUUAACCCCGUGAUGGGAUGGAAACUGCUGAUCUAGAGUAUCGGAGAGGAAAGUGGAAUUCCUAGUGUAGCGGUGAAAUGCGUAGAUAUUAGGAAGAACACCAGUGGCGAAGGCGACUUUCUGGACGAAAACUGACGCUGAGGCGCGAAAGCCAGGGGAGCGAACGGGAUUAGAUAUCCCGGUAGUCCUGGCCGUAAACGAUGGGUACUAGGUGUAGGAGGUAUCGACCCCUUCUGUGCCGGAGUUAACGCAAUAAGUACCCCGCCUGGGGAGUACGACCGCAAGGUUGAAACUCAAAGGAAUUGACGGGGGCCCGCACAAGCGGUGGAGUAUGUGGUUAAAUUCGACGCAACGCG